UACUGUAAGAAUAAGCACCGGCUAAUUCCGUGCCAGCAGCCGCGGUAAUACGGGAGGUGCAAGCGUUAUCCGGUUUUAUUGGGUUUAAAGGGUGCGUAGGCGGCUUAUUAAGUCAGUUGUGAAAUCCUAGUGCUUAACGCUAGAACUGCGAUUGAUACUAUUAGGCUUGAGUUAAGAAGAGGUAAGUAGAAUUUAUGGUGUAGUAGUGAAAUGCUUAGAUAUCAUAAGGAAUACCAAUAGCGUAGGCAGCUUACUGGUCUUUAACUGACGCUGAGGCACGAAAGCGUGGGGAGCAAACAGGAUUAGAUACCCUGGUAGUCCACGCUGUAAACGAUGAUCACUCGAUAUACAUGAACUUUCGUGUGUGUCUAAGCGAAAGCGUUAAGUGAUCCAC
rnacentral:rRNA from 1 species